rnacentral:tRNA from 1 species
CGUAUCUCAGAUGGUAAAGUGCCCGCCUAGUAAGUGGUAGGUCUUGGGUUUGAGCCCCACCGGCGG